rnacentral:rRNA from 1 species
GAUCCUGGUUCAGAUUGAACGCUGGCGGCAUGCUUUACACAUGCAAGUCGAACGGCAGCAUGAGGAGCUUGCUCCUUGAUGGCGAGUGGCGCACGGGUGAGUAAGACAUCGGAACGUGUCCUUUUGUGGGGGAUAACUGUCCGAAAGGACAGCUAAUACCGCAUAAGACCUGAGGGUGAAAGCGGGGGAUCGCAAGACCUCGCGCGAAAGGAGCGGCCGAUGGCCGAUUAGCUAGUUGGGG